GCUCUUUCUGUAUUUGGGAUAUUAACCCCUUAUCCGAUAUACGGUUUGCAAGUAUCUUCUCCCGGUCGUUAGGUUGUGUUUUGGUCUUGUGGAUGGUUUCCUUUGCCGUGCAGAAGAUUUUUUUGACUUUGAUGUAGUCCCAUUUGUUCAUUUUGUAUUUUGUUUCCAUUGUCCAGUCAGACGUGGUAGUUGAAAACAGGCUGCUAAGACUGAUGUCAAAGAGCAUACUGCCUAUGUUUUCUUGUAGACGUUGCAUGGUUUCGGGUGUGACAUUCAAGUAAAAGCCGAGGGAGGAGGCUGCAGUUCGCUGAGAGCGAGCGUAGCGGGGACCCUGCGUCCCUGUCAGCGCACCUUCCCGCUCCGCGAAGCUCCCGUUCUUCCUGCUCGCCGGACACGGACGACCAGGGCGCCCGCGAAGAUGAUUCCAUCUGGGAGAGGUCCCUGGGGGCGUGGGCCUGGGGGCUGGUGGGAGGCGAGCGUGUCCCUGAGGAAUAGGCUUGUGCGCCGAGAGGUGCCCGUCAGGUGGCGGGACAGCUGUGCGGCGUGGGGAGCGAGGGGGUCUCUUCGUGCGCUUCAGGCGUUCGUGGAACGGGAGGUGUGUGCCGGGCACGGGGCCUGCCUGGGGGUGCGGUGCCCGGGAGUCGGGCGCUGAAGCGGCAUCCCGUGGUCUUGGCUUCCUGGAAGGACAGACGCGAAGUCGAUAAGGACACUGGUCUCCAUGCGUUCUGAGGAGUGCAGGUCUCCCUCUUUUCGAGGCUACGUUCCGUUGGGGUUUUCAUGAAGCCUGUUGUGGCCCUGAAGCUCAGGCCGGUUCAGGGGAAGUGGCCUGUCGAGGGCCACAUCAUAUUUGUGUGCAGAGCCAGUGCUUUCCAAAGCCCUUGAGUGUGCAGAAGUCUACCUGUCAGGGGUGCAGUGGGGGCUGUCCGGGGAGCGUUGUGAGCACAGGUAUGUGUCCCACACUUGAAAGUCUGGCAAAGAAAGCGUGAGGCUGGAGGGUGCUCCGUUCGUUCCCUCCUUCCACAGAAAGUCUGGAGAGUUGACUUUGGGACAAGUCUUUCCUUUCCUCUGGUCCGUGCGUGUUCAGUGGUCUGGACACUUGGUGAGCAAGACUGACAGGGUGUUUGACAUACUGGAAGUCCCAGCCUGGUUGGAGAGGAUCAUGUGGAAUUUGACUUUCUCCCUCUGACAUAUUUCACUCAGCAUAAUACCCUCAAGGUCCAUCCACGUUGUCACAAUUGGCCGAAUUUCAUCAUUUCUUAUGGCUGAUUAAAGUCAAUAAAUUUUUA
rnacentral:lncRNA from 1 species